UAGCCCUAAACGAUGCGCGUUAGGUGUAUCGGUGACCACGAGUCACCGAGGUGCCGAAGGGAAACCGUGAAACGUGCCGCCUGGGAAGUACGGUCGCAAGGCUGAAACUUAAAGGAAUUGGCGGGGGAGCACCACAACGGGUGGAGCUUGCGGUUUAAUUGGAUUCAACGCCGGAAAUCUUACCGGGACCGACAGCAACAUGAAGGCCAGGCUGAAGACCUUGCCGGAUUAGCUGAGAGGAGGUGCAUGGCGUAGUCGUG
rnacentral:rRNA from 1 species